GGUGUGUGCAAAAAUAAGAUAUUCGGUGAUUAGAUUUCAGAUUUCAUAGAGAACGGUAAGAAAAACGCAGGCGUCCAAUGGUUAAGAGGAAGAUGGUAUUACAAGACUAAGGAGCCCAAGUAUGGUGGAAAUUCAUGAACGAAUCAAUGAUUUACCAAAGUAAAACCUAAAGCAUGGUAUCGUGGCAUCUGGAGGAUAUGCUGAUGCAUCAUAAGCUCCCAUCAGGAUGAACUUGAAGUGGAACAUGAGAAGGCUGCUGUCGAGAAAUCCAGACACAGAAUUCUCAUUCCCUAUCCCUGAUACUUGGCCCGACUCUGAUCCAUUUUUUGGGGUUGCAUUUCAGAGUCUUUCUAUUAAGAAGAGUGUCCACGCCAAGAAUUGUCUAAAGAGUGAACUACUGAAAUGUUCAAAUUAAUGUAUAAAUAUAUGAGUUUUAGAGCAUUUUAGAGCUCCGACAAACUACUCAAAUGUAAAGUUAGAUUUUCAUUUUACCAAAGUUGAUUGUUAUAUUAAAGUUAAGUUAUUUCUUUGUAAAAUAUAGCUGGAGUAGAACUCAUAAGUAGCAAAUCAUAAAAGACAGAUUUUGCUA